UACGGAGGGUGCAAGCGUUAUCCGGAUUCACUGGGGUUAAAGGGUGCGUAGGUGGGUCUGUAAGUCAGUGGUGAAAUCCCCGAGCUUAACUUGGGAACUGCCAUUGAUACUAUAGAUCUUGAAUACUGUGGAGGUCAGCGGAAUAUGUCAUGUAGCGGUGAAAUGCUUAGAUAUGACAUAGAACACCAAUUGCGAAGGCAGCUGGCUACACAAAUAUUGACACUGAGGCACGAAAGCGUGGGGAUCAAACAGG
rnacentral:rRNA from 1 species